rnacentral:rRNA from 1 species
UAAAAAGCUUCAAACUGGGAUUAGAUACCCCACUAUGCUUAGCCAUAAACCCAGAUAUUUAACAUACAAAAAUAUCCGCCAGAGAACUACGAGCAAAACGCUUAAAACUCUAAGGACUUGGCGGUACCUUAAACCCCCCUAGAGGAGCCUGUUCUAUAAUCGAUAAUCCACGAUCUACCUCACCAUCUCUUGCCAAUACCGCCUAUAUACCGCCGUCACCAGCCUACCCUAUGAAGGAUAUAAAAGUAGGCAAAAUCGCACAACAGCUAACAAGUCAGGUCAAGGUGUAGCUUACUGAGAUGGAAGAAAUGGGCUACAUUUUCUAAACUAGAAAUCAUUUCACGGAAAGAACUAUGAAACAAGUCCUAUAAGCAGGAUUUAGCAGUAAAUAGGGAUCAGAA